GGCCAUGGUGAUGUGAUUCUAACACCAUCUCCUGGUGACCAAAACAGGGCAGUGUUGGGAGCUGAGGCCUACAGCCUGAGAGUUGCCCCAAUUUUGAAGGAGGAAGGGGGGGGGAGCUGAAGGCCCCUUUCCUGGGGAUGGCUCCCUGGUGCCAUUUUGCUUGCUGAAGAGAAUAGCUUCCCCUUGGGCACAGGGACCUACAGGGACUUAGCCACCUCUUCAUCCCAUGCAUGGGUUCCCUUCAAUGAGAGGAUGGAAAGAAUGUCCCAAGAGGGCUGGGCAGUGUUUCCACUCCCCUGCCCAGCUGCCUGCAAGUGGAGACACCUGAAUGUGGAACCGCUGCUGUCAUUGGAGCAGAACCAGUUGCAAAUCAUCCACAGGGGGAAGGGACAAAAGCAUGCAGAUGGACAUCUCCAAUCAGCUGACCCAUGUGUACCUCAAGAAGCAUGCAAGUGUUCACAGCCUAACAUCAGGCUCCCAUCAGCUACUGCCACUUUGAUUACAGCUUCAACAAUUCAGUCAGAAGUUGCUUAA
rnacentral:lncRNA from 1 species